CAGCCGCCGCGGUAAUACGUAGGUGGCAAGCGUUGUCCGGAAUUAUUGGGCGUAAAGCGCACGUAGGCGGUUAUUCAAGUCAGAGGUGAAAGCCCGGGGCUCAACCCCGGAACUGCCUUUGAAACUAGAUGACUGGAAUCUUGGAGAGGUCAGUGGAAUUCCGAGUGUAGAGGUGAAAUUCGUAGAUAUUCGGAAGAACACCAGUGGCGAAGGCGACUGACUGGACAAGUAUUGACGCUGAGGUGCGAAAGCGUGGGGAGCAAACAGGAUUAGAUACCCGAGUAGUCCCUGUCUCUUAUAC
rnacentral:rRNA from 1 species